rnacentral:rRNA from 1 species
AUUGAACGCUGGCGGCAGGCUUAACACAUGCAAGUCGAACGAGUGGCGGACGGGUGAGUAAUGCUUGGGAAUCUAGCUUAUGGAGGGGGAUAACUACGGGAAACUGUAGCUAAUACCGCGUACCAUAGGAUGAGCCCAAGUGGGAUUAGGUAGUGAGUGAGGUAAAGGCUAACCAAGCCGACGAUCUCUAGCUGGUCUGAGAGGAUGAACCGCAACACGGGGACUGCGACACGGCCCAGCCUCCUACGGGAGGCAGCAGUGGGGAAUAUUGCGCAAUGGGGGCAACCCGGACGCGGCCAGGCCGCGUGUAUGAAGAAGGCCUUCGGGUUGUAAAGUACUUUCAGCGAGGAGGCGUUACUCGCAGAAGAAGCACCGGCUAACUCCGUGCCAGCAGCCGCGGUAAUUC